rnacentral:rRNA from 1 species
CCUACGGGAGGCAGCAGUGGGGAAUAUUGGGCAAUGGGCGCAAGCCUGACCCAGCAACGCCGCGUGAAGGAAGAAGGCUUUCGGGUUGUAAACUUCUUUUGUCAGGGAAGAGUAGAAGACGGUACCUGACGAAUAAGCCACGGCUAACUACGUGCCAGCAGCCGCGGUAAUACGUAGGUGGCAAGCGUUGUCCGGAUUUACUGGGUGUAAAGGGCGUGUAGCCGGGUUGACAAGUCAGUUGUGAAAUCCUGCGGCUUAACCGCAGAACUGCAUUUGAAACUGUGGAUCUUGAGUACUGGAGAGGCAGACGGAAUUCCUAGUGUAGCGGUGAAAUGCGUAGAUAUUAGGAGGAACACCAGUGGCGAAGGCGGUCUGCUGGACAGCAACUGACGCUGAGGCGCGAAAGCGUGGGGAGCAAACAGGAUUAGAUACCCCGGUAGUC